GUAGGUGGCAAGCGGGGGGGGGGGGGUUGUCCGGAAUUAUUGGGCGUAAAGCGCGCGCAGGCGGUUCUUUAAGUCUGAUGUGAAAGCCCACGGCUCAACCGUGGAGGGUCAUUGGAAACUGGAGAACUUGAGUACAGAAGAGGAAAGCGGAAUUCCACGUGUAGCGGUGAAAUGCGUAGAGAUGUGGAGGAACACCAGUGGCGAAGGCGGCUUUCUGGUCUGUAACUGACGCUGAGGCGCGAAAGCGUGGGGAGCAAACAGGGAUUAGAUACCCUGGUAGUCCACGCCGUAAACGAUGAGUGCUAAGUGUUAGGGGGGUUUCCGCCCCCCUUAGUGCUGCAGCUAACGCAUUAAGCACUCCGCCUGGGGAGUACGGCCGCAAGGCUG
rnacentral:rRNA from 1 species